rnacentral:rRNA from 1 species
GUGGGGAAUCUUGCGCAAUGGGCGAAAGCCUGACGCAGCCAUGCCGCGUGAAUGAUGAAGGUCUUAGGAUUGUAAAAUUCUUUCACCGGGGACGAUAAUGACGGUACCCGGAGAAGAAGCCCCGGCUAACUUCGUGCCAGCAGCCGCGGUAAUACGAAGGGGGCUAGCGUUGCUCGGAAUUACUGGGCGUAAAGGGCGCGUAGGCGGACAGUUUAGUCAGAGGUGAAAGCCCAGGGCUCAACCUUGGAAUUGCCUUUGAUACUUGCUGUCUUGAGUACGGGAGAGGUGAGUGGAACUCCGAGUGGAGAGGUGAAAUUCGUAGAUAUUCGGAAGAACACCAGUGGCGAAGGCGACUCACUGGCCCGUUACUGACGCUGAGGCGCGAAAGCGUGGGGAGCAAACAGGAUUAGAUACCCUGGUAGUCC